rnacentral:lncRNA from 10 species
UGUUAGCCUCAUUUAGAGUUGAAAGAACUCAGAUAUGGAGAGGAUAAGUAAUGAGCCCAGGGCCACAGAACUGGUUGAUCCUCCUGCUUAUAGUUCUCAUAUUCCUCCUCCCAUGGCUGACUCCUAUUCUUCUUGAAGACCCAGUUAAAGGUUUUCACUUGCGUCCAAGAAGAGCGAGACAUUUGAAGAAAGUUUCCAACAUGCCAGUGUGAAACUACAGUCAAUAAACAGAAAAUUUCUGUCCUCAUGGAGCAUAUAUUUUAGAAGAAUCAGAAGUAACUGCCUAAUGUUUUCAAAUCAUUGAUGUAAAAACUGAACUUGGACAAUGGAAGAGUGAUGCAGGAGACAGCUGCAUUCAACUUUAAUUAUUCUGUAGAAUUUCAUUUUAACGUUAUGUACAUGUAUUACUCAGGAAAAAUAAAUAUGUAUGUAAAUAUGUUUGUGUACAUUAUCUCACAUGAUAAUCUAUAAAUUUGCCUAGUUAUGGGCUCAACUCUGUCUCAUGGCUGUUUUACCACUACUCUGGGAAGUUAUAUCACUUUAGUUCCAAAAGUUGGUGUACCACAAAGUUAAAACACAAGGGUUCAAAAAUCAAUAAAAUAAACAAAUAAACAAAAAACUGUUUUGUUUUGUUUCUGUUUUAUUGAUUAUGAUAUAUUGCCUCUAGUUUUAGUGACAAACAUUUUGCUACUGUUUCUUUGGUUUUGGUAAACCCAAAACUAGAGAAAUUAAUCUGUGUUGGAUGAAUGGUGAAAGUAAUCUUAUAUUACUAUUGCCAUCAUUUAAUGCCUGAAGAUAUUUAAUAGGCUUAUUUUAAAUCUGCAUUCUACCUGUUCUGUAACUCAGUGGCAGGUAAGGUACAUUGUUCAGUUUGAGGUCCUCUUUUGAGGAGGUUUUCUUACUUAGGUGUUUAGUUAUUUUCGACUGUGAUCUCAUUUUUUCUUGGGAUGUCAGCCACUCUCCUUACAGUAUGGGAUAAAUGUCCAGGGGCAGGUCUCAGUGUUGAUUGUAUCUGUUUGAAGCUAUUCUACCAGGCAAUAGCUAUGAGCAGGGCUGUACAUUUAACUCAUUAUUGUGAAACAACAUUAGUAUCAGUCCUUACACCUAGGUAAAAAUCUACACCCUAAAGGAUUUGGAGGAAUGAUUAUAGAAGUUGAUCAGUUAAUGUCUCUUUGAAUAAAUUGUUUACCCACUUAAGGCCCUGAAAGUAACUCAAGGACUCUAGCACUGGCAUGCAUAUGGGUAGAGUUUAAAAGGAUUUCCUCUGGCCUGUCUUCUGGUUGAUUUCUCCUGCAAUUCUGCUCCUCAGGUUACAGUGAUAUAUCCAGAUAAAAACAUCCUUUAUUCUUUCUAGGGGUUUUACAAAGGGAUUAUUUUGUGGUGGUGGUUGUUAGCUCCUGGAAUCCUUACUUAUGUUUCAUAUUUGUAGUUUCACUAGAGUUGAUUUUGGAGAACAAACUGCCAGCCUUGGCUAAUUCUUUAUCUUGUUACUGACCAGAAAUCACGUUUGUGUAAACAUGAAGUUCCAUAAUUUGUCCUGGUUCCUUUUUGUAAGACUAUGAUCAUGCAGAACAUAAUGAUUAGGCAAAGAGUAAAUGGUGAAUUUUAGAAAUUUAGCAUUGACCAAUAAUUGACAUGCUUUGUGGGAAGGCUUCUCAGGGGAAAAUGGGGAACUGGUCACAACACUGGAAACCUCAGAGAAUGUGUGACUAUUCCAACACAUGAUGGAAGUCACAUAUAUCACUGAUUUUAUUUCUGAUCAGAAUAUCUUCUCCUUUAAUGUUGUUAUCACUUCAGAAAAAUUAAAUUAAGGAGAACAACCAUGGAACAACCCCUCCCUACUGUGUUAUAAUGUGAAUUCAGAACUUUGAAAUGAUGAUUAUUAAGCUUCCUGAAUAAUAACUUAAUUUUAAACCAAGAGUAAACCUAAAGUUAAUGUAAGAAGUUAGUAUUAUUAAUCUAACAAAAUUGCCAAUUCAAUCUCAGUCUUCUACCUUCUGGAGAAAUCUCAUGUUUUAUCUUAUUACAAAAGUAAAUCAGGUGAUUUAUGCAAUGUGUGUAACUUUUCAAAUAAAUUAACUCUACAAAAAUAUGUCUCUUUCCCCUGCAUGUAGGUGACAAAUGUUCUGAGCAUUGUAAGUAGACGGAAUAAACAUUUACUUUCACAGAUGUGGGAAUGUAUAUUUGCUUCAUUUAAUUCUGAGAGUAUGAUAAAAAUAUGACAAUAUUAAGAUAUUGGAUAAAUGUUGAAAGCCUAACAUUGAAUCCAACAAAGGUGCUCAGUGUUUGGAAAAACUGUGCUUAAUAUAGCCCUAUCAUGUUAAUAUAUCCUAUUAAAAUGGAAGUUAUCUGCAAACUUUUUGUCUUAAGAGUUUUAGAUGGAACUAUUGACCAAUAUAUUUUAUUUUCAGAAAUUAGGUUUUGAGUUAGUAACAUGAGGAACUUUCAUUGGAAUUUAACUUUAAUAGUUAAAUUUUUAAGUUACCUUGACCAUCCAAGGCAAGUUUUAAAAUCUUGUUUAAAUAAAUA